rnacentral:ribozyme from 12 species
UUUUUUUUUUUUUUUUUUUUGUUUUUUGUUUUUUGUUUGUUUUUUUUUCGUUUGGUUGAAGCAUCAUUUUCUGUUUGUAGAACUGCGUAGGCAG